AAUGCCCAUCGCUAAACCCAAACCCAAUUCCCAACUGUAACUUUACUCCGAUCAAAUCAUUGGGUUCAGGAUGAUGAUCUAAUCACCAUUACUAAAAACCUCUGAAACCCUUAGCAAUGGGAGUAGUAAUCGAAUCCGAAUUCUGGGAACCAAACCAAUCAAUAUGCAUUUUCUUAUUCAUCUUCUGCGUCUUGUCAAUCUUCCUUUUGCCCACUAAAUCCGCCGCGAAUGUCUUGGAUCACGCGCCUCACGGCGCGUUUCUUCGUUUCCAGCGGAAGUUUCUCCUCCUCUACGCUCUUUCCUCAGUGAUGAAGGGUUUGUGGGCUGUGUUUGGAGAGUAAAGAGCAAAUGGUUACGUUUUUAUUGGUUGGAUAUGCGGCUUCUCUAUCAAUUGGGAGCUUUCUUGGAAUGAUUUCUGAUUUAGUAGGUCAUAAGAAACUUUGCUUGUUGUUUUACUUGCUACACCUGUUCGUGAGCAUAUCGAAGAUAGUUAUUGGAACUCCGACUAUUUGUUUUACAAGCAUCUUUCUUGCACUGGCUUCUUCUAUAUUUUCCUUUAAGUUUCGAGUCGUGGAUGGUAAUCGAGUACGACAAGCUAGGUCAACGGCAAGAUUCACUGAACGAUAUGUUUUGGCUGAUGACUUUCUUCGAGUCUGCAUCUUUCAUUAGCAGCCAGGUUCUUGCGAAUUAUUUCGUUGAUGGUAAUGUGUUCAAAAACGUUAAAUCUGUGUGGAGUGGAGCUUCGGUUCUGGCAUUUGUAGGUAUUUUGUUUGUUACUCGAGGUGGGAAAGAAGCCCGACAAACAGCAUCUGUGAAGGAUCAUCACAUUUCAUUGCAUAGACAUGCUACUAGUGGUAUGUGUUUCAUUAUGUUAAUAUAUGCAAAAAAACGAGUAUUCGUUCGAAGCUCUUCAACUUGUUUAGAAAGUCUUGAAUACGCAGGAAAAAAAACGAGAACAAUUUUUUCGCCUGAUUUUCCCCCCUCUAUCGUAUGCAUCUAUGAGUCUUUUACCGUUAUGCA